UAUGUGAAUGUAUGUAUUGUGACUGUAUGUUUUUAUGUAUAUAUGUGUUUAAGCAUUUAUUUAUUUACUUUCUUUCUGAACCAGAUGGAGUGGAUCAUAUAUCACCAAGAGGUCCUAGACUUGGCAGCGGAUGUUGUUGGGCUGUCUUUCUUCAGGAAGGUUGAAUAUGUUCUUUGUUCAAGAAAGGUGUGGACAAAAUAAAGCAAAGGAAAGGAAGGAAACAAAAUGCAACAGCAACAUUUCAAGGAAGAAGAUGAAAACAAAGAGAAAACUACCACUUGAUGUUAAAAAGUGGGCUAAAGAAGCCGUCUUGCCUGAGAAGCUGGUAUAGUUGCUAAUUCAAUGGUAGGAAGACAAUUGCUAACCCACUACUAUAAGUUCCACACACAAAAAAAGUUGUUUCAAUUAAUUAAUAAAAUCCAUUGUGAGA
rnacentral:lncRNA from 1 species